GUGGUGGCUCAGAGGUAGAGUGCUUGCCUGGCACAUGUGAGGCCCUGGGUUCAAUUCUCAGCACCACA
rnacentral:tRNA from 1 species